rnacentral:rRNA from 1 species
AGAUUGAACGCUGGCGGCAGGCCUAACACAUGCAAGUCGAGCGGCAGCACGGGUACUUGUACCUGGUGGCGAGCGGCGGACGGGUGAGUAAUGCCUAGGAAUCUGCCUGGUAGUGGGGGAUAACGCUCGGAAACGGACGCUAAUACCGCAUACGUCCUACGGGAGAAAGCGAGGGACCUUCGGGCCUUGCGCUAUCAGAUGAGCCUAGGUCGGAUUAGCGUAGUUGGUGAGGUAAUGGCUCACCAAGGCGACGAUCCGUAACUGGUCUGAGAGGAUGAUCAGUCACAUGGAACUGAGACACGGUCAACGACUACCGUACGGGAGCAGCGAAGGU